UUUACGUUUCCUUUCCGGGUACGACCCUACCAAGGUGGCUGCAUGGUUGUCGUCAGCUCGUGCCGUGAGGUGUCGGGUUAAGUCCCAUAACGAGCGCAACCCUUACCGUUAGUUGCCAUCAGGUAAAGCUGGGGACUCUGGCGGGACUGCCACCGUAAGGUGAGAGGAAGUGGGGAUGACGUCAAAUCAGCACGGCCCUUAUGUCCAGGGCUACACACGUGUUACAAUGGCCGGUACAGAGGGCAGCUACCCCGCGAGGGGAUGCGAAUCUUGAAAGCCGGUCUCAGUUCGGAUUGGAGUCUGCAAUUCGACUCCAUGAAGUUGGAUUCGCUAGUAAUCGCGCAUCAGCCAUGGCGCGGUGAAUACGUUCCCGGGCCUU
rnacentral:rRNA from 1 species